UACGAAGGGGGCUAGCGUUGCUCGGAAUCACUGGGCGUAAAGGGCGCGUAGGCGGCUGUUUAAGUCGGAGGUGAAAGCCCGUGGCUCAACCACGGAAUGGCCUUCGAUACUGGACGGCUUGAGACCGGAAGAGGACGGCGGAACUGCGAGUGUAGAGGUGAAAUUCGUAGAUAUUCGCAAGAACACCAGUGGCGAAGGCGGCUGUCUGGUCCGGUUCUGACGCUGAGGCGCGAAAGCCAGGGGAGCAAACGGG
rnacentral:rRNA from 1 species